AUGCGGUCGGCAAGGAGCAGCAGCGCAGUCGGCAAGGAGCAAUACGAGCAGCAGGCGCGGCCUACAAGGAGCUCCGCCUGGACUGAUGCCGUCGCCCACCUGGAGGAGCCCGCCUCCGUGCAAAGGCCGGCACCACCACCUCGAGUUGGCGCCGCCAUGGACCACCACCUCGAGCCGCCACCAUCAUGGACCACCACCUGGACCUGGCACCGAGGUCGGCCAUGCCGCCGCCAUGAAGGAGGUGCACGGGCCGCUCGAGGGGAUGGAAGAGGGCUCGCGGCCGGCCACUGCUCACGGCUGCCACAACCACGGGAUGGGCUGGCCUGGCCGCAGCCAUGGCUGCCGGCCACAACCACGGCCGACUUAUACAGGGACUUGAUUGCUUUUUUGAAAAAUGAUUGA
rnacentral:rRNA from 1 species